CCCGCUACCAUGUGUGUUAACAUCUCGGUACUAAAGCAUUAUAUAAACCUAAAAGGCGCAUUUAGCUCCAGUACACUUUGAUCCUCAUCAGUUUUCAAUUAAAAAUGCUUCUCAGUCUAGUGUGUUGUACUGUUUUGUUAAUCACUGCGGUCCAGAGUGACUCUUUAUCGCCAAUAAAUCGGACACUGUCUGAUUUAAAUCAUAUUCAAAUGAGCAAUAGCAUAAUACAAGUACCAUGUAAUGGUGGUAGACGGACUCAUAGGGGAUGUAGGGAAAACUUCAUAAUUCACCGUUGACAAAGGAAUUACUUAUUGGUCGUGUGCAUAUAACGGUUUUAUUUACUUGCUUUACAGAUAAAUAAAUUUAUCUUCUCAUUGCUUACCUAUUAUAUGGAUGACAUUUGUUAAUC